UUUCAUGAUUUUGUUGAAAAAAAUCGAGUAAAAAAAAACAAUAGAAAAGAUGUAAAAAGAAAACAAAAAAAGAAGGAAGGAAACAUUUACAAUUCUAGUUAUUCGUCGCCAAAAAAGUGCUGAACUAACGUUUUGGUAAAUGGGGUGUUUUAAACUUAUCCAACAAUUUGUUGCUGUAUGCAUUUCCCCCCCACUUGACUGAGUUUCAAUGAAGAGAAAGGAGAAUCAUUUACACCCCUUUUACUUAUCUCACUGGGUGGGAACCGUGGUCGAGUUCAAGUGAAAAACCUUCCUUCUGAAAACUGCCGUAACAGGGGAACUCAAAAUCUCAGACCCUACCGGAAUGAAAGAGUUAACUUACAUGCUGAAAUUCUUCUAUGGAAAACAAUUUAUUAUUACUUCUUAUAAGGUAUGACUAAGUUUUUUUUUAUGAAUUUGGGGAAUAUUUAAAUCUUAAUGACCAAAAACAUGAUUAUAAAAUUUGCUUAAAUACUCUUAUAAAGUAUAUUCUUAUAAAGUAUGUUCUUAUGAAGUUUAAUCUUAUAAAGCACUUUGGUAGAGAAUAAUAUUUGUCUUUUGCAAAAUUUAAGUUCAUAGUAAAAGUAAGAUAGUAAUAGAUUUAAAGUUUUCGAACACUAAAUAGUUAACAAAUGACUCGUUUGGCUGAAAACUUGAGGCAAUUAAAUUCAUUUUUUUCGCAAGUAAUUUCUAGAAAUUUAUUUUUUUAAGCAAAAUUUUAGUUAAUUACUAGAAAUUAAAAUAUAUUCCUCACAGGUUUUCCUUUUCUCUGUGCUGGCCGUCGCCAUUGCUCAACGAUAUGGUUCCGCGAUACGACCAGUACGUCCGAUACUUCCAUCUCUACCGAUUGGUCAAUUUCCCGUACUUCCUGGCCCGGCUUCAUCUACAUUUGCUACAUCUCUUGGUAACGCUCCCGUAGGAAUUGUUGACAGAAGUGUUGGACAAGGAUAUGGUCCAGGAUAUGGUGCUGGAUUUCCAGGAUUUGGAUUUCCUUUUGGAUUCCCCUUUGGAUUCCCAUACUUAGGAUUCCCUUAUGGAGGACUACCUUUUGGUGGUUUCCCCUAUGGCGGACUUGGAGAAAACGUCUUCAGCACGUCCUUGGGAGAUGCUAAAGUAGGAACAGUUAGCAGAUCAACAGCAUAAGCAACAAAAAUGGAUAUAAAGCGUCACGUGGUCUUAACGCCGUUUGAUGAUAUAGUAUGAAGAAACUGAGUGUGGAUGUGAUGAAUGAAUUUCUUAGAUUAUUGUCAUUCAAAAUUUUUAUUUAAAUAAAAAAAGUUGAAAUUAAA